rnacentral:rRNA from 1 species
AUUGAACGCUGGCGGCAUGCCUUACACAUGCAAGUCGAACGGCAGCACGGGUGCUUGCACCUGGUGGCGAGUGGCUAACGGGUGAGUAAUACAUCGGAACGUACCUUAUCGUGGGGGAUAACGCAGCGAACGCUGUGCUUAUACCGCAUACGCCCUGAGGGGGAAAGCGGGGGAUCGCACCACCUCGCGCGAUUAGAGCGGCCGUUGCCUGAUUAGAUUGUUGGCGGGGUAAAAGCCCACCAAGGCGACGAUCAGUAGCUGGCCUGUGAGGACGAUCAGCCACACUGGGACUGAGACACGGCCCAGACGCCUACGGGAGGCAGCAGUGGGGAAUUUUGGACAAUGGGGGCAACCCUGAUCCAGCAAUGCCGCGUGAGUGAAGAAGGCCUUCGGGUUGUAAAGCUCUUUUGUCAGGGAAGAAACACCGGCUCUAACACAGUCCGGGAAUGACGGUACCUGAAGAAUAAGCACCGGCUAACUACGUGCCAGCCGCCGCAGUAA